rnacentral:misc_RNA from 1 species
GAGUCAUUCAUACAAAAGAGCAACCAUGGAUCUCCUAUCUGAAGGUCUAAAUAAAGGAAUUGCAGUCACAGGGAAAGUUUUGUUCUUUGCUAAGAAAGAGAGUGUAGCUCCAUUGUGCUAUGUGCUAUCUGAUUCCAAUCACACAUGUUAUGUAAUUACACUGUAUGGUAUUCGCAGUGAUGCUAUUAAAGAAGGAGAUCAAGUCACUUUAUUGGAGCCUUUCUACCGUUUUGUUGAUUUUUCUUGGAAAGGAAAGCACUACCAGUUCAAAUCAGUGCGAGUGGAUUUUGUGGAACAACUUCUUGUAAAUGGAAAAAA